UCUGGCUCAGGACGAACGCUGGCGGCGUGCUUAACACAUGCAAGUCGAACGAGAGGACAAGAGAAGCUUGCUUCUUUUGGAAUCGAGUGGCAAACGGGUGAGUAACGCGUAAACAACCUGCCCUCCGGAUGGGGACAACAGCUGGAAACGGCUGCUAAUACCGAAUACGAUCUAAAGGCCGCAUGACCUUUAGAAGAAAAGAUGGCCACUGAAUAUGCUAUCGCCGGAAGAGGGGUUUGCGUCUGAUUAGCUAGUUGGAGGGGUAACGGCCCACCAAGGCAAUGAUCAGUAGCCGGUCUGAGAGGAUGAACGGCCACAUUGGAACUGAGACACGGUCCAGACUCCUACGGGAGGCAGCAGUGGGGAAUCUUCCGCAAUGGGCGAAAGCCUGACGGAGCAACGCCGCGUGAGUGAAGACGGCCUUCGGGUUGUAAAGCUCUGUUAUAUGGGACGAACGGGUGUAUGGUCAAUACCCAUACGCCGUGACGGUACCGUAAGAGAAAGCCACGGCUAACUACGUGCCAGCAGCCGCGGUAAUACGUAGGUGGCAAGCGUUGUCCGGAAUCAUUGGGCGUAAAGGGCGCGCAGGCGGUUCGGUAAGUCGGUCUUAAAAGUGCGGGGCUUAACCCCGUGAUGGGAUUGAAACUGCCGGACUGGAGUGUCGGAGAGGAAAGCAGAAUUCCUAGUGUAGCGGUGAAAUGCGUAGAUAUUAGGAGG
rnacentral:rRNA from 1 species